AUGGAGGAACUUGGGCUGACAGAGGAUAAUCUGCAAGAUGUUGUGAUUGAGGAUGAUGAACUAGCGGCGGAGGCGACCCGCUGGAUGGCAAUCGCUAGGGUUCAUACUGAGAAACCCUACAGCCAAUACUGGUUCUUCAGAAACAUGAAGACCGCGUGGGACUUGGCGAAGGAGGUUAAGAUCCGGCCCCUGGAAGAAAACCUCUACACGAUGCAAUUCGGCUGCCUUGGCGACUGGGAG
rnacentral:rRNA from 1 species